rnacentral:lncRNA from 1 species
CCCACCUCUCUCCCCAUGCCAUGACCCACACACCAUCUGGAAGCUGUGUCAUGUUGUUGGUCAGUCAGUCAGCCUCACUGCCUCUUUGGGCUACCCGGACCCUGGGAACCAGAGUAGCCCUAUCCCAGGUUGCCCCUGCCAGGAGGCCACACCACGUCUGUUUCAUCCCUGUUUCUCUUGCCUCUACACGGGGCUUGAUGCCUUCGUUCUUGCCCUGCAACAGCCCUGCAGGGCAUAGCUGUGAUGUCCCAUUCCGUCCGUCUGUCUGGCCACUGGCCCCGCCCCCCAGACACCUGUCUCACCUGUCUCACCAGAGCCAUGCGUGUUGCAUCUUCCAUGUGGUCUCUGUGUGGGCCGGGGGCUGGGGGCCGGGCCUGGGUCCAUCUGGGUGGACGACUGGGGCCCAGCAUUGGCACUGACCCUUGGUCACAGGGAGACUGCCAGGUGGGGAGUGGGGUGUUGCCGUGUUGAACAGGUCCCCGAUGGAGGUAUGGCAGCAGCGAGUGCCCAGGUGAUCUGAACAUGGAUAGGGUAUCCUUGAAAGUACUGGGGCCUGAAUACCUAAGCAAAACAGGUUCUCAGAAGGAGGCCCAGGAGGGGGAGGCUAAGACCAGUGCU